rnacentral:lncRNA from 1 species
CGCCCACCUGCUCAGCUGGGAGGAGCGCAGCGUUCACCAGGUGGCCACAAACCUGGCCACACCCUGGCCUUGGUGGCCCGCCCCCGCCCCCAGCCCCUAAUUGGCUCAUUUGCCGCUGUGUAAACAAGGGCGCAGCCCCUCCCCCUGUUUAGUGCCUGGCCUUUAAGAAAGGGCCCUCCCUUCUGCCGGAGGCACUCGUUAUCGGAAUCUUAAUGAGGUCAUUAGCAUCCCGCGCUUCUGACGGGAGGGAUGAGGUCGGCGCACACCUCGCUUGGGCUGGUUUGUCUUCCCUGGAUCCCCGUGUCCACUUUGCUUCGCACAGAGCCACAGGCCCAAGGCCGUGGGCAGGAGGGCC